rnacentral:rRNA from 1 species
GAUGAACGCUAGCGACAGGCUUAACACAUGCAAGUCGAGGGGCAGCACAGGUAGCAAUACCGGGUGGCGACCGGCGCACGGGUGAGUAACGCGUAUGCAACUUACCUAUCAGAGGGGGAUAACCCGGCGAAAGUCGGACUAAUACCGCAUGAAGCAGGGGUCCCGCAUGGGGAUAUUUGCUAAAGAUUCAUCGCUGAUAGAUAGGCAUGCGUUCCAUUAGGCAGUUGGCGGGGUAACGGCCCACCAAACCGACGAUGGAUAGGGGUUCUGAGAGGUAGGUCCCCCACAUUUGUACUGAGUCACGGACCAAACUCCUACGGGAGGCAGCAGUGAGGAAUAUUGGUCAAUGGCCGGGAGGCUGAACCAGCCAAGUCGCGUGAGGGAUGAAGGUUCUAUGGAUCGUAAACCUCUUUUAGAAGGGAAUAGAGUGCGGGACGUGUCCCGUUUUGUAUGUACCUUAUGAAUAAGGAUCGGCUAACUCCGUG